rnacentral:rRNA from 1 species
UUAAGGCUGAGACUUGAUGCAUACCCGUUGUGGGGAAUUCAGUGAUCCUAUGCUGCCGAGAAAAGCCUCUAGUGAGUUCAUACACGGCCCGUACCCCAAACCGACACAGGUGAUCAGGUAGAGAAUACCAAGGCGAUCGAGAGAACUGUGGUUAAGGAACUCGGCAAAAUGCCCCCGUAACUUCGGGAGAAGGGGGACCAUGCCCGGUGAACAUCUUCACGGUGGGAGCUGGGUGUGGUCGCAGAGACCAGAGAGAAGCGACUGUUUACUAAAAACACAGGUCCGUGCGAAGACGUAAGUCGAUGUAUACGGACUGACGCCUGCCCGGUGCUGGAAGGUUAAGAGGACCGGUUAGCCGUAAGGCGAAGCUGAGAAUUUAAGCCCCAGUAAACGGCGGUGGUAACUAUAACCAUCCUAAGGUAGCGAAAUUCCUUGUCGGGUAAGUUCCGACCUGCACGAAUGGCGUAACGACUUCUCUGCUGUCUCGACCACAGACUUGGCGAAAUUGCACUACGAGUAAAGAUGCUCGUUACGCGCGGCAGGACGAAAAGACCCCGGGACCUUUACUAUAGCUUGGUAUUGGCGUUCGAUUCGGUUUGUGUAGGAUAGGUGGGAGACUGUGAAGCAUGCACGCCAGUGUGUGUGGAGUCGUUGUUGAAAUACCACUCUGAUCGUAUUGGACGUCUAACCUCGGCCCAUGAUCUGGGUUAGGGACAGUGCCUGGUGGGUAGUUUAACUGGGGCGGUUGCCUCCUAAAGAGUAACGGAGGCGCCCAAAGGUUCCCUCAGCCUGGAUGGCAAUCAGGCGUUGAGUGCAAGUGCACAAGGGAGCUUGACUGUGAGACUGACACGUCGAGCAGGGACGAAAGUCGGGACUAGUGAUCCGGCACCGGCAAGUGGAAGCGGUGUCGCUCAACGGAUAAAAGGUACCCCGGGGAUAACAGGCUGAUCUUCCCCAAGAGUCCAUAUCGACGGGAUGGUUUGGCACCUCGAUGUCGGCUCGUCGCAUCCUGGGGCUGGAGUAGGUCCCAAGGGUUGGGCUGUUCGCCCAUUAAAGCGGCACGCGAGCUGGGUUUAGAACGUCGUGGGACAGUUCGGUCUCUAUCCGCCGCGCGCGUAAGAAACUUGAGGAAGGCUGUCCCUAGUACGAGAGGACCGGGACGGACGAACCUCUGGUGUGCCAGUUGUUCCACCAGGAGCAUGGCUGGUUAGCUACGUUCGGAAGGGAUAACUGCUGAAAGCAUCUAAGCGGGAAGCCUGUUCCAAGAUGAGGUUUCUCACCACCUUGCGUGGUUAAGGCCCCCUACAGACCAUGGGGUUGAUAGGCCGGAACUGGAAGCGCAGCAAUGCGUGGAGGUGACCGGUACUAAUAGGCCGAGGGCC